GUGUCAGCAGCCGCGGUAAGACGAACCGUGCGAACGUUAUUCGGAAUCACUGGGCUUAAAGCGCGUGUAGGCGGGCCGGCACGUCGACUGCUGAAAGCCCCCGGCUCAACCGGGGAACGGGCAUCGAUACGACCGGCCUGGAGGGGGGUAGGGGGAGCCGGAACUCACGGUGGAGCGGUGAAAUGCGUUGAGAUCGUGAGGAACGCCCGUGGCGAAAGCGGGCUCCUGGACCCCACCUGACGCUGAGACGCGAAAGCCAGGGGAGCGAACGGGAUUAGAAACCCCCGUAGUCC
rnacentral:rRNA from 1 species